GAUCAUGGCUCAGGACGAACGCUGGCGGCGUGCUUAACACAUGCAAGUCGAACGAUGAUGCCCAGCUUGCUGGGUGGAUUAGUGGCGAACGGGUGAGUAACACGUGAGUAACCUGCCCCUGACUCUGGGAUAAGCGUUGGAAACGACGUCUAAUACUGGAUAUGAUCACUGGCCGCAUGGUCUGUUGGUGGAAAGAUUUUUUGGUUGGGGAUGGACUCGCGGCCUAUCAG
rnacentral:rRNA from 1 species